UAAAGAAAGCGUAAUAGCUCACUGGUCGAGUCGGCCUGCGCGGAAGAUGUAACGGGGCUAAACCAUGCACCGAAGCUGCGGCAGCGACACUGUGUGUUGUUGGGUAGGGGAGCGUUCUGUAAGCCUGUGAAGGUGGCCUGGGAGGGUUGCUGGAGGUAUCAGAAGAGCGAAUGCUGACAUAAGUAACGAGAAAGCGGGUGAAAAGCCCGCUCGCCGGAAGACCAA
rnacentral:rRNA from 1 species